rnacentral:rRNA from 1 species
UACGAAGGGUGCAAACGUUGCUCGGAAUUAUUGGGCGUAAAGCGCACGUAGGCGGCUUUGCAAGUCCCAUGUGAAAGCCCACGGCUUAACCGUGGAAGUGCAUGGGAAACUGCAGAGCUUGAGUACUUAAGAGGAUCGCGGAAUUCCCGGUGUAGAGGUGAAAUUCGUAGAUAUCUGGAGGAACACCGGUGGCGAAGGCGGCAUCCUGGACCGGCAUUGACGCUGAGGCGCGAAAAGCCAGGGGGAGCAAACGGG